GAUGAAGAACGUAGCGAAAUGCGAUAAGUAGUGUGAAUUGCCGAAUUCAGUGAAUCAUCGAAUCUUUGAACGCACAUUGCGCCCUUUGGUAUUCCUUAGGGCAUGCCUGUUCGAGCGUCAUUUAAACCUUCAAGCUAAGCUUGGUGUUGGGUGACUGUCCGCUUCACUGCGGACUCGCCUCAAAAUUAUUGGCGGCCGGUACAUUGGCUUCGAGCGCAGCAGAAACGCGAACUCGGGCCCGUCGUAUUGGCUCCCAGAAGCUAUCUUCACAAUUUUGACCUCGGAUCAGGUAGGGAUACCCGCUGAACUUAAGCAUAUCAAUAAGCGGAGGA
rnacentral:misc_RNA from 1 species